rnacentral:rRNA from 1 species
ACUCCUACGGGAGGCAGCAGUAGGGAAUCUUCCACAAUGGGCGCAAGCCUGAUGGAGCAACACCGCGUGAGUGAAGAAGGGUUUCGGCUCGUAAAGCUCUGUUGUUAAAGAAGAACACGUAUGAGAGUAACUGUUCAUACGUUGACGGUAUUUAACCAGAAAGUCACGGCUAACUACGUGCCAGCAGCCGCGGUAAUACGUAGGUGGCAAGCGUUAUCCGGAUUUAUUGGGCGUAAAGAGAGUGCAGGCGGUUUUCUAAGUCUGAUGUGAAAGCCUUCGGCUUAACCGGAGAAGUGCAUCGGAAACUGGAUAACUUGAGUGCAGAAGAGGGUAGUGGAACUCCAUGUGUAGCGGUGGAAUGCGUAGAUAUAUGGAAGAACACCAGUGGCGAAGGCGGCCCCCUCGGACGAAAGAACUGA